rnacentral:ncRNA from 1 species
UACAGUGGGUAUGGAAAGUAUUCAGAUGCUCUUUCUUGAUUCUGUGGGUGGUGGUGCAUGGCCGUUCUUAGUUGGUGGAGUGAUUUGUCUGGUUAAUUCCGAUAACAAACGAGACUGUGGCAUGCUAACUAGUUACACAGCCCCCGUGCGGUCGGCGUCCAACUUCUUAGAGGGACAAGUGGCUUUCAGCCACACGAGAUUGAGCAAUAACAGGUCUGAUUUUGCAGACCU